CCCAGUUUGCCCUCAUUGUCAAAAAUGAGUGAUUGAGGCAUUUCUGAUUGCGAUAUAAUGCAAACUGUACACCAAAAGGGCUUUUCAAUAUUAAAUUCAAAUGUCCACAAAAUCCACAAUCUGGAUCAGAUCUGGAUCAAACUUUGUCAGGCAAUAGAGAGUGCCAGUCUUUGCCUCACUUUCAAA